rnacentral:lncRNA from 1 species
UGUACGUAACAGACAGCCAAAACUGUGUCAACUUCAAGUACUUUCUUCUGCAGCAAAGAAAGUAAGUGAGAGCUACUCUCUCUGUAACUAUGGAGAGUUACUCCAUAGUAGACAUCUAGUUAGGAGACAGAAGGAAGGAGAGCAAGUGGAUGCAAUUGACCCUGCUUGGGAAAUCCUGAAGGCACAGCACUCAGAUGGGCAAUAAC